rnacentral:rRNA from 1 species
AUGCUGGAGGUAUCAGAAGUGCGAAUGCUGACGUGAGUAACGACAAAACGGGUGAAAAACCCGUUCGCCGAAAGACCAAGGGUUCCAGUCCAACGUUAAUCGGGGCUGGGUGAGUCGACCCCUAAGGCGAGGCCGAAAGGCGUAGUCGAUGGGAAAAUGGUUAAUAUUCCAUUACUUCUGUGUAAUGCGAUGAGAGGACGGAGAAGGCUAAAUCAGCCUGGCGUUGGUUGUCCAGGUGAAAGGAUGUAGGCAUGUAUCUUAGGCAAAUCCGGGGUACUCUAUGCUGAGAUCUGAUAGCAAGCUGUACUUGUACAGCGAAGUGGUUGAUGCCAUGCUUCCAGGAAAAGUCUCUAAGCUUCAGUUACACAGGAAUCGUACCCGAAACCGACACAGGUGGUCAGGUCGAGUAGACCAAGGCGCUUGAGAGAACUCUGCUGAAGGAACUAGGCAAAAUGGUACCGUAACUUCGGGAGAAGGUACGCUGUUGUUGGUGAUGGAACUCGCUUCCUGAGCUGACGACAGCCGCAGAAACCAGGCCGCUGCAACUGUUUAUUAAAAACAUAGCACUCUGCAAACACGAAAGUGGACGUAUAGGGUGUGAUGCCUGCCCGGUGCUGGAAGGUUAAUUGAUGGGGUUAGCGUAAGCGAAGCUCUUGAUCGAAGCCCCAGUAAACGGCGGCCGUAACUAUAACGGUCCUAAGGUAGCGAAAUUCCUUGUCGGGUAAGUUCCGACCUGCACGAAUGGCAUAAUGAUGGCGGCGCUGUCUCCAGCAGAGGCUCAGUGAAAUCGAAAUCGCUGUGAAGAUGCAGUGUACCCGCGGCUAGACGGAAAGACCCCGUGAACCUUUACUGCAGCUUGACACUGAACUUUGACCUUACUUGUGUAGGAUAGGUGGGAGGCUUUGAAGCUGGAACGCUAGUUCCAGUGGAGCCGUCCUUGAAAUACCACCCUGGUAAUGUUGAGGUUCUAACUCUGUCCCGUGAUCCGGGACGAGGACCGUGUCUGGUGGGUAGUUUGACUGGGGCGGUCUCCUCCUAAAGAGUAACGGAGGAGUACGAAGGUGCGCUCAGCGUGGUCGGAAAUCACGCGUAGAGUAUAAAGGCAAAAGCGCGCUUAACUGCGAGAC